rnacentral:rRNA from 1 species
CUAAGAAUCUUCCGCAAUGGACGCAAGUCUGACGGAGCGACGCCGCGUGAACGAUGAAGGCUGUGAGGUUGUAAAGUUCUUUUCCGGGGGAGGAAUAAGGUUGGCAGGGAAUGGCCGGCUGAUGACGUGAACCCGGGAAUAAGCCCCGGCUAACUACGUGCCAGCAGCCGCGGUAACACGUAGGGGGCGAGCGUUGUUCGGAAUUAUUGGGCGUAAAGGGUGCGCAGGCGGCGGCUCAAGUCUGGUGUGAAAGACCCCGGCUCAACCGGGGGGACGCGCUGGAAACUGGGGCGCUGGAGUACAGGAGGGGGAGUUGGAAUUCCAGGUGUAGGGGUGAAAUCUGUAGAUAUCUGGAAGAACACCGGUGGCGAAGGCGAACUUCUGGCCAUGUACUGACGCUGAGGCACGAAGGCGUGGGGAGCGAACAGGUUUAGAUACCCUGGUAGUCCACGCAGUAAACGAUGUACACUAGGUGGUGGGUGGUAGCACUCAGUACCGGAGCAAACGCGUUAAGUGUACCGCCUGGGGAGUAUGCCCGCAAGGGUG